rnacentral:rRNA from 1 species
GAAAGACGUGAUAGCCUGCGAAAAGCUCCGGGGAGGCGGCAAAUAUCCUGUGAUCCGGAGAUGUCUGAAUGGGGAAACCCACUUACCAUAAGGUAGGUAUUGCAACAUGAAUACAUAGUGUUGCAAGGCGAACGAGGGGAAGUGAAACAUCUCAGUACCCUUAGGAAAAGAAAUCAAUUGAGAUUCCCUCAGUAGCGGCGAGCGAAAGGGGAAGAGCCCAUUAAGUCAUAUAAGUUCUAGUGGAACGCUCUGGGAAGUGCGACCGUAGACGGUGAUAGUCCUGUACACGAAAGGGCUUAUAUGAUGAUGUCGAGUAGGGCGAGGCACGUGAAACCUUGUCUGAAUAUGGGGGGACCAUCCUCCAAGGCUAAAUACUCCUGACUGACCGAUAGUGAACCAGUACCGUGAGGGAAAGGCGAAAAGAACCCCUGUGAGGGGAGUGAAAUAGAUCCUGAAACCGCAUGCAUACAAGCAGUGGGAGCCGGCUUAGUCCGGUGACUGCGUACCUUUUGUAUAAUGGGUCAGCGACUUAUAUUCAGUAGC